GGAUAGCUCAGUUGGUAGAGCAAUGGACUGAAAAUCCAUGUGUCGGCGGUUCAACUCCGUCUCCGGGCACCA
rnacentral:tRNA from 1 species